CUGCGCGGAGCUCACACCGAAGUCUGAACGCAGCAGUCCCUGGAAGCUUGGCUGUCAAUGAGUAUUUCCCGCUCGCGUGUGGCUAUGGGGGGACACGGGUUCGAGCCCUGGUCUGGGAGGAUCCUACAUGCCGCGGAGCAGCUAAGCCCGUGCGCCACAACUACUGAGCCUGCGCUCUAGAACCUGCGAGCCACAACUACUGAGCCUGCGCUCUAGAACCUGCGAGCCGCACAUACCUAGAGCCCGUGCUCCACAACAAGAGAAGCCACCGCAAUGAGAAGCCCACGCACUGAAACGAAGAGUAGCCCCAGCUUGUUGCAACUAGAGAAAGCCCGCGCGCAGCAAGAAGACCCAACACAGCCAAAAAUAAAUAAUGCCAUGACAGUCCCAGCUUGACCAUGUAGGGACAAGAAAAACUCCCCUGCCCAACCUGGAGGAGGAGCUGAUGAUGGAAACAUGACAUCUACUCAAGAAUGAGGAAGAAGCUGGUCUUUUCCCCCUCCCCACUUUUCCUUUGAUUACAGAAAUGUAACCCACGAAGUACUCGGGGCAGCACAACGCUCGCCUGCCCGCCUGUAAGCCUCACAA